UGGCGCCCAACGUGAAGACCCAGGUAUGAGACUUCAGUGAAGAAUGCUUCUGAGAAGAGCCGGCCACAUCAAAAAGAAAAGAAUAGAGGACGUUGUAAGACAGGAGCCUGCCACAGCAACAAAGACCUCAUAAGUGAGCGAUGAUAUGGGACAAGACAAGAGUCAACAUGAAUUGUUUGUUGAAGGCCUUAACAAGGUAUUUAAGGGGCAAGGGAUUAGGCUUAAAACACAGGAUUUGUUAAAGUGUUUUGUCUUUACUAAGGAAGUUUGUCCCU
rfam:Mesocricetus auratus contig150302, whole genome shotgun sequence.